rnacentral:rRNA from 1 species
UACAGAGGGUGCGAGCGUUAAUCGGAAUUACUGGGCGUAAAGCGUGCGCAGGCGGUUUUGUAAGUCUGACGUGAAAUCCCCGGGCUUAACCUGGGAAUUGCGUUGGAGACUGCAAGGCUAGAAUCUGGCAGAGGGGGGUGGAAUUCCAGGUGUAGCAGUGAAAUGCGUAGAGAUCUGGAGGAACACCGAUGGCGAAGGCAGCCCCCUGGGCUAACACUGACGCUCAUGCACGAAAGCGUGGGGAGCAAACAGG